rnacentral:rRNA from 1 species
GAAACUGUGGGUAAUACCGGAUAAUGUCUCCGGACCAAAGAUUUAUCGCCGGAGGAUGGGUCUGCGUCCUAUUAGCUUGUUGGUGGGGUAACGGCCUACCAAGGCUACGAUGGGUAGCGGGCGUGAGAGCGUGGCCCGUCUCACUGGGACUGAGACACUGCCCAGACACCUACGGGUGGCUGCAGUCGAGAAUCUUCCGCAAUGGGCGAAAGCCUGACGGAGCGACGCCGCGUGCGGGAUGAAGGCCUUCGGGUUGUAAACCGCUGUCAGUGGGGAGCAAAUCCGGGAAACCGGUUGAGCUAUCCGCAGAGGAAGCGCAGGCUAAGUUCGUGCCAGCAGCCGCGGUAACACGAACUGCGCGAACGUUAUUCGGAAUCAUUGGGCUUAAAGAGUUCGUAGGCGGCCUAAUAAGUCAAGUGUGAAAUCCCUCGGCUCAACCGAGGAACUGCGCCCGAUACUGUUAGGCUUGAGGGAGACAGAGGUGAGCGGAACUGAUGGUGGAGCGGUGAAAUGCGUUGAUAUCAUCAGGAACACCGGUGGCGAAAGCAACUCACUGGGUCUCUUCUGACGCUGAGGAACGAAGCUA